rfam:Blastomyces gilchristii SLH14081 genomic scaffold supercont1.8, whole genome shotgun sequence.
UCCUCGAUGGUCUAGUGGUCAUGAUUUCCGCUUGUCAUAAACAUGCCAAGCGCGGGAGACCAGGGUUCGAUUCCCUGUCGGGGAG